rnacentral:lncRNA from 1 species
UCGAGUUUAAGCUAUGCCAAGAGAUCACACAACUUUGAUACGGUCGGUUCCCUUGGUAAUUAUUAAGGGGAAGUCCCGAAACUGAACUAGUGAAUUGAUAGGAUCAUUGCUAACCCAUUGGCUUCACGAGAUCGGAUAGCGCAACAUAGGGCAUUUUCUUAAUGAUAAGAUUCUAUUUCUACACUCUAGACAUAUCUGGCCUCUGAUUUCCUUGCCCGCCUAAGAAUAUGCCUUCCUUUUUCACAGGUGGGACGAAGUCGCAUUGAUGGAAUCGGCCACUUAUCCAAUUCCGUCGCCGAAAAAGUCCGUUAGGCUUUCUUUACUUGACGAGUAUACCUUAGUUACCAG